GCUCCCGUAGCUCAGUCGGUAGAGCAGUGGUCUUAUGCGCCAUUUGUCGUGGGUUCAAGCCCCACCGGGAGUA
rnacentral:tRNA from 1 species